rnacentral:rRNA from 1 species
AGGCCCCUAAGCGUACGCUAAGUGGGAAAGGAUGUGGAGUCGCACAGACAACCAGGAGGUUGGCUUAGAAGCAGCCACCCUUGAAAGAGUGCGUAAUAGCUCACUGGUCUAGUGAUUCCGCGCCGACAAUGUAGCGGGGCUCAAGCGUACCGCCGAAGUCGUGUCAUUGCAGCAGAUAGCCCCAACGGGUGCUGUGAUGGGUAGGGGAGCGUCGUCUGCCGGGUGAAGCAGCACCGGAAGGUAGUUGUGGACGGUUGACGAGUGAGAAUGCAGGCAUGAGUAGCGAUUCACACGUGAGAAACGUGUGCGCCGAUUGACUAAGGGUUCCUGGGUCAAGCUGAUCUGCCCAGGGUAAGUCGGGACCUAAGGCGAGGCCGACAGGCGUAGUCGAUGGAUAACCGGUUGAUAUUCCGGUACCCGCUGUGAAGCGUCAAACAUCGAAUCCAGUGAUGCUAAGCCCGUGAAGCCGCCGGCUGAGUCUUCGGACGAGGUCGGAGUGGUGGAGCCGGUGACCCGAGCUGGUAGUAGGUGAGUGAUGGGGUGACGCAGGAAGGUAGUCCAUCCCGGGCGGUGGUUGUCCCGGGGUAAGGGUGUAGGACGUCAGGUAGGUAAAUCCGCCUGGCACAUAGUCUGAGACCUGAUGCCGAGCCGAUUGUGGUGAAGUGGAUGAUCCUAUGCUGUCGAGAAAAGCCUCUAGCGAGUUUCAUGGCGGCCCGUACCCUAAACCGACUCAGGUGGUCAGGUAGAGAAUACCGAGGCGUUCGGGUGAACUAUGGUUAAGGAACUCGGCAAAAUGCCCCCGUAACUUCGGGAGAAGGGGGGCCACGCCUGGUGAUAGCACUUGCUGCUAGAGCUGGGGGUGGCCGCAGAGACCAGCGAGAAGCGACUGUUUACUAAAAACACAGGUCCGUGCGAAGCCGUAAGGCGAUGUAUACGGACUGACGCCUGCCCGGUGCGGAACGUUAAGGGGACC